rnacentral:rRNA from 1 species
UAGCAAUACCGUGAGUAAAGUGGCGCACGGGUGAGUAACACGUGACUAACCUACCCUGGAGUGGGGGAUAACUGAGGGAAACCUUAGCUAAUACCGCAUAACACCUACGGGUCAAAGGAGCAAUUCGCUUCAGGAGGGGGUCGCGGCCGAUUAGUUAGUUGGCGGGGUAAUGGCCCACCAAGACGAUGAUCGGUAUCCGGCCUGAGAGGGCGCACGGACACACUAGAACUGAAACACGGUCCAG